rnacentral:lncRNA from 1 species
CCCUGGGGCAGAUGCUUCCUGCAGCGCGCAAAUCUGCACGCUGUCAUUUUGAUUUCAGAGAGUUAUUGUUUCCAUGGUCAUCGCCUCUUGAAGAUGUUGCUGACUCAGGGAUCGUGGGCUCUGCCUGUUCACCCAGUGCCAUGCGACAACCUCCAAGGGUCACCGUGUCCCAUGUGGGCUCCCGACUACAGGCAUUCCUGGCCCUGACCAUCCAAAGGCUGGAGCUGAGUGACCGUGUCAGCUGUGACCCAGGCUCAGCAGUCCCCGGGCCUGGGCCACACACUCAAGGGUGUUCUGAGGGUCAUGGUGCCUCGGAUCCGUGGCUCUUCUGUCCCCUCAGUGUCUGAACCCAGGCUGCUCUACAGUGAGGAGGCCCAGUCCUGCC